CCUACGGGUGACUGCAGUGGGGGAUAUUGCACAAUGGGGGAAACCCUGAUGCAGCGACGCCGCGUGGGUGAAGAAGCGCCUCGGCGCGUAAAGCCCUGUCAGCAGGGAAGAAAAUGACGGUACCUGAAGAAGAAGCCCAGGCCAACGACGUGCCCGCAGCCGCGGUAAAACGUAGGGGGCAAGCGUUAUCCGGAUUUACUGGGUGUAAAGGGGGCGCAGAUGGCGAUGCAAGCCAGGAGUGAAAGCCCGGGGCCCUACCCCGGGGCUGCACUUGGAACUGCGUGGCUAGAGUGCAGGAGGGGCAGGCGGAAUUCCUGGUGUAGCGGUGAAAUGCGUAGAUAUCAGGAGGAACACCGGUGGCGAAGGCGGCCUGCUGGACUGCAACUGACGUUGAGGCCCGAAAGCGUGGGGAGCAAACAGGAUUAGAUACCCCUGUAGUC
rnacentral:rRNA from 1 species